UCCUGGCUCAGUAUUAGACGCUGGCGGCAUGCUUUACACAUGCAAGUCGAACGGCAGCACGGGUGCUUGCACCUGGUGGCGAGUGGCGGACGGGUGAGUAAUGCAUCGGAACGUGUCCUGAAGUGGGGGAUAACGCAUACGAAAGAUGUGCUAAUACCGCAUAUUCUCUGAGGAGGAAAGUAGGGGAUCGAAAGACCUUAUGCUUUUGGAGCGGCCGAUGUCUGAUUAGCUAGUUGGUAGGGUAAAAGCCUACCAAGCCGACGAUCUGUAGCUGGUCUGAGAGGACGACCAGCCACACUGGGACUGAGACACGGCCCAGACUCCUACGGGAGGCAGCAGUGGGGAAUUUUGGACAAUGGGCGCAAGCCUGAUCCAGCCAUGCCGCGUGCGGGAAGAAGGCCUUCGGGUUGUAAACCGCUUUUGUCAGGGAAGAAACGCUCCAGGCUAAUACCCUGGGGUAAUGACGGUACCUGAAGAAUAAGCACCGGCUAACUACGUG
rnacentral:rRNA from 1 species